AACGUAGGAGACAAACGUUAUCCGGAGUUACUGGGCGUAAAGGGCGUGUAGGUGGUUUGUAAGUCUGGCGUUGAAAUUUUUCGGCUUAACCGGGAAAGGUCGUCGGAUACUGCAGGACUAGAGGACGGUAGAGGCGUGUGGAAUUCCGGGUGUAGCGGUGAAAUGCGCAGAUAUCAGGAGGAACACCGGUGGCGAAGGCGGGUCUCUGGGCCGUAACUGACGCUGAGGAGCGAAAGCAUGGGGAGCGAACAGG
rnacentral:rRNA from 1 species